ACAUCAAAAAGGCCGAAGCUUAAUUCGUAAGCGCGGGGGAACCCAUAUCCUUGGGGUGAAGCCACUAUGGUGGCCGGGUGGUUGCUCUUUGACCCGAAUCCGUCAGCUAACCUCGCAGGCCGUAAAAAGGAGAGGA
rnacentral:sRNA from 1 species